rnacentral:rRNA from 1 species
UACGUAGGGUGCGAGCGUUGUCCGGAAUUAUUGGGCGUAAAGAGCUCGUAGGCGGUUUGUCGCGUCUGCUGUGAAAACUCGGGGCUUAACCCCGGGCCUGCAGUGGGUACGGGCAGACUAGAGUGCGGUAGGGGAGACUGGAAUUCCUGGUGUAGCGGUGAAAUGCGCAGAUAUCAGGAGGAACACCGGUGGCGAAGGCGGGUCUCUGGGCCGUGACUGACGCUGAGGAGCGAAAGCAUGGGGAGCGAACAGG